rnacentral:lncRNA from 1 species
AGAUCCAACUAAUAAGUUUGGCAGGAUACCAGGCUACGCUAAGCAUACCCAUAAUAAUAAUCAAGAAUGGCGAUAAGGAACCCAACACUGCUAACACGGGAGAAAAUCCCUAGGCCCUUCUUCACCUUUCAUUCUGAUUUGUGCAUUUCUAACCUUUGCUCCAAUCUGAGGGUGCUCUCAACCAGGAUCAACUACACUUGUUCCUCGCUCCUGCUAUGAUAUAAAAAAGUAAUAAAUUCACAUAGUAGUAAAAGAGGAACUCUGGCUUACUAUUGAUUAGUAGUUCCUUCUUAGGUGAAAAAGAACUAUUAGCCCAUUUCUUUGAAGUAGAAAAUACAGAAUGAAGUACUACCCCGGGAAUCCAACUCAUCGGUCCGAACUCAUACCUUUACUUAGACUAAGGAAUUACAAAACUACCAACAAGAAGGAAACAAGCUGCUGGCAUUAACUAAAUGAGGCUAAUCGCACUCAGGAUAUCCCUCUUAAGCUCUGGCUCUUAGAACUGUAGUUGCUUGGCCCUUCAUGUUACUUUCCCACCGUCUUCAAUUCUAUUAAGGUUGGGGACCUCGUUGGAACUCAUGUCCGAAGCCCUGACUAAACCAUACCUUCAGUUAGUACGAUGGGAAGCUAUAAUCUCAACUUCCAAUCCAAGGUUUGGACCUCAACGGAAGGAAGGAAAUGGUUUUUGACGCUCCUAAUUCCGCUUUGCUUGGUAUAAGAUAGGUUUCAGAUGACUUUAUCGAUGAUCUAUGUUCUUUCACUUGAUAGUAUGGUUUCAUUUCGUUGCUUUGUUGAUGGUUUAGCAAUAGCAGCGGUUCCAAAUCCGGUCCAUGAUGUGGUUUGAUAUUAUAGUAGAAGAGACUGUGUUCUUGCUCCUUUAAUAUAAGGCCAGUAAGAGAGCUAGCUCAUAGCUCAGUAAAUCAUUCUCUUUCCAUUGUGUUGCUGUAGUGCCUGGCGCCUGAACCCGAACGGUCGGGUGAUGUUCAUGCUAUCAGGGUAGAAGCUGUGUACAAGUGUACAAAGGAGAAAGAAUCGGAGGGUGGAAGCUGUGUACAAAGGAGAAAGAAUCGGUGGUCUAUGAUGGUUCGGUCUUUGACCCUUGCUCUCUUGUCUUCAUUACGAUGAUACUACACCCCGCCCCGAUCCUAUGGGCAAGCGAUUGAACUUAUUCUUGCGAGUAGAUCAAUGCCCCUUCCUCUUUCGUGUUUGUUUUAUUGAUGUAAUAUAGUAUAGGUUGCAGUGGAAGAGUUACCUUACGGGACGUAGCUAAAGCCUUCUACCUUCCAUGCAGACUAGGCUAUUAAGAGAACGAUUGGCUAGGUCGUUAUUUGGAACACUUCGUGUUUCCUCCCUUCCGGCUUCUAAAGAGGAGCUGAAAGCCUUUAUGUUUCGACAGGUAACUAGCCUUAUACCAGGGUAAGAACAAUUGGCAAGACUAGUGACAGCUUUUAUGAAGACUUACUACAAGUUUCCCGGCCUCACAUUUCAAACCGGAUAGCGAGGCCCUUUAGAGUUCACUAUCCAGAAUAAGGCAACUCAAUAGAGAGCUUCCUCUGCUCUAGAAAGCAUCUUGUUAGGACACAGUGUACAACUUAGAAUACAGUGCAGCUUCAACAAUGUAGCGAGUUUAUUGCCGGGUUAUAGAUUGGCUAUGCAUGGUUUUAGAAUGCAUCCCAUCCAGUAGAUAAAGCAAUGUAGCAACUAACUAAAAGAUUUGCUCCUUUUUCUUCUAUUCUAAGUUCAACUAAACCUUCCAUUAAAGGUAAGAUAGUGUGUGUGUCAGUGAACACCAAGCCAUAAGCUAUCCCAUUCUCCUCUUCCUCUAACUAGUCCACCAGCCACGACUUAUGCUUCGUAAAUAGCUUUACCUUAGUUAGCCUCCGGCACCAGUGAGAUAUUACUAUUGGAAUGGAAGAACUUUCAUCUUUUGAUCCAAGGAUUCUACAAGGACGGAGCUAGUAGUUUGAUGGGAAUCGUUUGUUGUGGUAUCAAUGAAUUUCCUCAUGCGCUGAUAGUGCAGUGUCUCUGUAACGUGAAUAAACCCCCAAACCCCUCUGCUUUAGAAAGAUAGCAGCCAUACAGACCCGAUUUAGGAAAGUCUGCUGCUUUCCCAUACAGACCCG